rfam:Triticum urartu cultivar G1812 contig892701, whole genome shotgun sequence.
AAAGUAUUCCCUCCGUCCGGAAUUACUUGUCGUAGAAAUGAAUAAAAAUGGAUGUGUCUAGAACUAAAAUACGUCUAGAUACAUUCGUUUCUCCGACAAGUAUUUGCGAACGGAGGGAGUAGAAA